GAUGAAGAACGUAGCGAAAUGCGAUAAGUAAUGUGAAUUGCAGAAUUCAGUGAAUCAUCGAAUCUUUGAACGCACCUUGCGCCCCUUGGUUAUUCCAAAGGGCAUGCCUGUUUGAGUAUCAUGAACACCUCAACUCUUGUGGUUUCCCACAAUGAGCUUGGACUGUGGAGGUUUUGUUGGCCCUGUGGUCAGCUCCUCUCAAAUGGAUCAGCUUACCGGUGUUUGGUGGCAUUACGGGUGUGAUAACUAUCUACGCUCGUGGUCGUCUCCAAAUAACCUCCAGUGAUGGAGGUUCGCUGUAGCUUAUAAAUGUCUCUCCCCUGUGAAGACAGCCUUUGAACGUUAGAUCUCAAAUCAGGUAGGACUACCCGCUGAACUUAAGCAUAUCAAUAAGCGGAGGA
rnacentral:misc_RNA from 1 species